rnacentral:rRNA from 1 species
GGCCUUUUGAGUAUAAUUUAAGGUCGGGCCUGCCCAAUGAUUAAUUAAAUGGCCGCGGUAUAUUGACCGUGCAAAGGUAGCAUAAUCAUUAGUUUUUUAAUUGAAAGCUUGUAUGAAGGGUUUAAUGAAAAAAAUACUGUCUCUAUUUAAAUUUAUUAAAAUUUUAUAUUUAAGUUAAAAAGCUUAAAUUUGUAUUGAAGACGAGAAGACCCUAUAGAGUUUAAUAUUUCAUAUGAAAAUAAAGUAUUAAGGAUUUUAAAUAAUUUUUAUAUAAAGUAUUUAAUUGGGGUGAUUGAAAAAUUAGUUUAACUUUUUUUGUAUUUUUAUAUUGAUUAAUAAAUUUGAGAUCCUUUUUAAGAUUAAAAGAUAAAAUUACCUUAGGGAUAACAGCGUAAUUUUUUUUAGAGUUCUUAUCGAAAGAAAAGAUUGCGACCUCGAUGUUGGAUUAAAAUUAAUCAUUGGUGUAGAAGCUAAUGAACUAGGUCUGUUCGACCUUUAAAUUUUUACAUGAUCUGAGUUUAAACCGGUGUAAG